AACGAACGCUGGCGGCAUGCCUAACACAUGCAAGUCGAACGAGACCUUCGGGUCUAGUGGCGCACGGGUGCGUAACGCGUGGGAACCUGCCCUUAGGUUCGGAAUAACUCCCCGAAAGGGGUGCUAAUACCGGAUAAUGCCUUCGGACCAAAGAUUUAUCGCCUUUGGAUGGGCCCGCGUUGGAUUAGCUAGUUGGUAGGGUAAAAGCCUACCAAGGCGACGAUCCAUAGCUGGUCUGAGAGGAUGAUCAGCCACACUGGGACUGAGACACGGCCCAGACUCCUACGGGAGGCAGCAGUGGGGAAUAUUGGACAAUGUGCGAAAGCCUGAUCCAGCAAUGCCGCGUGAGUGAUGAAGGCCUUAGGGUUGUAAAGCUCUUUUACCCGGGAUGAUAAUGACAGUACCGGGAGAAUAAGCUCCGGCUAACUCCGUG
rnacentral:rRNA from 1 species